GUGGUGGUGGAGCGGCGGAUGACGAGGCUCGCCGCCAAGCUAGACAGUAUGGCGCUGUGCUGAGCCGUGCGCGGGCACGGCGGGGGGGUGGCGGCGCGGCGGGUGCAGCGGGGCGUAGUGACCAAGGUGAGCCGACUGCUCGUGGGGUCCGUUGGUGUGCGGUGUGCCCUGUUUCCGCCGUCAAUGCGCUCGUCCGCUCUGACGGACUUGAGCUUCUCCUGCAACUCCAUAAGCUCGUGGCGCGUUAUCGACCUGGCAGCCGGCGCAUAUGGAGUCCCCGUAUGCAAGUAUAAGCAGGGGGGUGAAUUACAUUGUGUAGUUGCUCAGACAUCCAAGGCAAAUCAUAAUUUUGGAUGCAUAUUUUGUCCUACAAUAGUGCUUUUUUGCUAAAGAUCUUACACAAGUCUGAAUAAUACACUUUUUGUUGUACAAGGUAUAUAACUGAAUAUCCUGCGUGUUAUAUGAGCGUGUGGUUGACUACAUAAGUGCAUGAUCCCCGUAGUGUUAAUUUAGGUGCAGAUGAUGGCAGAUUCGAGUCUAAAACUUAUGUUUUAGUACUACAUCUAUAUAAUAGCCACAACAACUUCAUUAUGUUU